rnacentral:snRNA from 1 species
AAACAUCAUGUACUGGAAUUGAAUUUUCCCAGGACGAGGCUCAUCCCCUGCACUCCGGGUGUGCUGACCCCUGCGAUUUCCCCAAAUGCGGGAAACUCGACUGCAUAAUUUGUGGUAGUGGGGGACUGCGUUCGCGCUCUCCCCUG